rnacentral:rRNA from 1 species
AUUGAACGCUGGCGGCAUGCCUUACACAUGCAAGUCGAACGGUAACAGGUCUUCGGAUGCUGACGAGUGGCGAACGGGUGAGUAAUACAUCGGAACGUGCCUAGUAGUGGGGGAUAACUACUCGAAAGAGUGGCUAAUACCGCAUGAGAUCUACGGAUGAAAGCAGGGGAUCGCAAGACCUUGUGCUACUAGAGCGGCCGAUGGCAGAUUAGGUAGUUGGUGGGAUAAAAGCUUACCAAGCCGACGAUCUGUAGCUGGUCUGAGAGGACGAUCAGCCACACUGGGACUGAGACACGGCCCAGACUCCUACGGGAGGCAGCAGUGGGGAAUUUUGGACAAUGGGCGAAAGCCUGAUCCAGCAAUGCCGCGUGCAGGAUGAAGGCCUUCGGGUUGUAAACUGCUUUUGUACGGAACGAAAAGCCCCGGGUUAAUAUCCUGGGGUCAUGACGGUACCCAAAGAAUAAGCACCGGCUAACUUCGUGCCAGCAGCCGCGGUAA